GUGCCAGCAGCCGCGGUAAUGCGUAGGUGGCAAGCGUUAUCCGGAAUUAUUGGGCGUAAAGCGCGCGCAGGUGGUUUCUUAAGUCUGAUGUGAAAGCCCACGGCUCAACCGUGGAGGGUCAUUGGAAACUGGGAGACUUGAGUGCAGAAGAGGAAAGUGGAAUUCCAUGUGUAGCGGUGAAAUGUGUAGAGAUACGGAAGAACACCAGUGGGGAAGGCGACUUUCUGGUCUGUAACGGACAC
rnacentral:rRNA from 1 species